rnacentral:lncRNA from 1 species
UGGUUGCGUCUGCACCACCGAUUGGGGGCCUCAGCGGGUGGUUAGGGAGGUUUGCCUGGGUGCAUCGCCCAUGGGAGCCUCCUUGAUAAUCGGGGUAGUGCAUCUUGGUGAUUGGAAUUUGUCAUCGAUGGCGCUCCGUCGCUGCAAUGCCGCCGCGCAACGUCGCCAGGCUUCACCGACGCCGAAUCCGAGGUAUGUGGCCUCCUCAGUUGUUCAUCGUGGUCCGCUUGUCGUGCUAAGCCUUUCGGGUGGUGGUUGGUGCGCGGGGGCGUCGGAGCAUGGUGCGCCGGCGGGAGCUCCGCCGUGAGCACUGUGCGCCGUCGCGCUGAUGAUCAGGGGAGGAAGAACAGAUUUAGUCCGUUAGAUGUCGAUCCAGUGGCUAUAAUUAGAUCGGGUGGGAACACUGAGCGCCGUCAGAUGUUGAGUGUACGGUUAAGAUGGGAGAGUGAGGCUCUGCCGUUAGAUACACACUGAUCGGCUUAGAUUUAAUGGAAUCUAAUCCCAGAAUCAACGGUCCUAAUGGUGUACCGGUUCAAUAGAGCUUGGAUCUAAUCCCAAUCGUCCAUCUCAGAUCGCACGGCCUAGAAUGUGCGAUAACCCCUUCGCCUCGGGUUUUAUUCAAAAGAGACCCCGUAAUAUUUAUAAAUUAACCCGCCGUCCACCGUGGGUGGAAUCUGUGUAUGAGGUAUUUUUAUGCGACAACCCCCGUACUUGUCUGUAUUAUGCGCACAGUCCACGAAACAGAGAAAAUAAGUAAAUAAAUGCAGAAAAUAGAUAUUUAGUAUAAAAACAAUUCCAAAACCUAGUUUAAUUUAUAUAAAAUUCGUUUUAACUCCUUUUUAGCCCAUUCUAAAUCUUGAAAUUUUGUAAUAUGAUUCUUUAUCAUUUAGAACCACUGUUUUGACAUGAAUAUCGCAAUAAAAUUUAUAUCCUAUUUAUAUCCUAUCUAAUCUUGUACAAAGCACAUAAAACCUUCAGAAAUUCAUAACUUAAAAUCUAUAACUCCAAAAUUAAUGAUUCCUGUUCCUAGAAUAUUAUUUUAAUGUGUAGAUUAUUAUUAUGUAUUUUGUUUACAUGUUUGGUGUGAUGUUAAUUUUGCCUAUACUAUGUUUGUUUGUAUUGCUACGGCUAGCGUGAGGUCACGAGUCAUGUGAAGAUCAUCCUGGUACCUGGAAUCUCAAGUUCCAAGCAAGUUGUGCCCUUGAUCACUUCUUUUUACCCAGUCAUGUUCUGAUUAAUCAUAAUGAUCUGUAUAGGUUAAUUUUGAUGAGACCCAACAGGUUACCAUAGUUUGACUAUCUUUAUACCUUGUUUACCACUGAAUUCUUGGGUAGAACCUGCUAUUGCUUUAUGUGGUUUUGGGUAUAGAGAUACAUAUUAUUCAUGAUUAUAUUUUGUUAUCAGUUGUUAUUUACUGUUCAUGUUAAGAUCAUUAUGUUAAUUGGAACAUGGAGAACCACCCGGGAAAACAGUGCUACCACAAGGGUGGUAUGGGACGCCCUUGGCUGACUAAUUAGGAAAGCUAGUGGAGGACUACCUUACCAGAAAGGGGCAAGGGCAGUAGGGGAGUGGUCAAUGUAGGGAGGUCCUUGGGUUGAUUUUGUUGCGAUGGCGGUCAGGCGAGGGAUCCCUGCAUUGGAGCUUCCUAGAAACUGUAGCGGGUUUUCUAAAGCUAGUGGAACUUUGUAAAGGCCUCAUAGUGUUACCCUGCCUCGCCUCUUCGGUAGAGGUGUAUGGGAUUGGUCGUCUCUUGGCAGAUGGGUAACAUGACUUGUGGGUAAAGAUGUGCAACCUCUGCAGAGUGUAAAACUGGUAUACUAGUCGUGCUCACGGUCAUGAGCAGCUCAGACACUUACAUGAUUAAUUUAUGGAACUAAAUUCAAUUUGUCAUAUGCAUUGCAUAGCAGGUGAUGUUGUUACUUUUGUUCUACUACUUAAUUGGGUUGGUAUUUACUUAUACUUAAUAACUGCUAAUAAAAUUUUGACCAACUUUAAAAGCAAUGCUCGACUCUAACCAUCCUCAUUGGUAAGCCUUACACUUCACAUGAGCUCCCACUUUUGGCGAGUUCAUGCACAUUAUUCCCCACAACUUGUUGAGCUAUGAACGUAUGUGAGCUCACUCUUGCUGUCUCACCCCCACAGGUCAAGAACAGGUACCGCAGGAUGAGGCGCAUGGAGGAUGUUGCGAUAUGUUCGUGAGAGGUCUAGGCCAUCGUCUCCCAGUCAACUUUGGGUUGCUGGACCGUUGUCUCCUUAUAAUUUAAUUAUUUAUUUAUUUUGUAUAGAACUCCUAUUAUAUAGUAAAGAUGUGACAUUCGAUCCUGUGCCAUGAUUCA